AUUGAACGCUGGCGGCAGGCUUAACACAUGCAAGUCGAGCGGAGAUGAGGUGCUUGCACCUUAUCUUAGCGGCGGACGGGUGAGUAAUGCUUAGGAAUCUGCAUAUUCGUGGGGGACAACAUUCCGAAAGGAAUGCUAAUACCGCAUACGUACUACGGGAGAAAGCAGGGGAUCUUCGGACCUUGCGCUAAUAGAUGAGCAUAAGUCGGAUUAGCUAGUUGGUGGGGUAAAGGCCUACCAAGGCGACGAUCUGUAGCGGGUCUGAGAGGAUGAUCCGCCACACUGGGACUGAGACACGGCCCAGACUCCUACGGGAGGCAGCAGUGGGGAAUAUUGGACAAUGGGGGAAACCCUGAUCCAGACAUGUCGCGUGUGUGAAGAAGGCAUUAUGGUUGUAAAGCACUUUAAGCGAGGAGGAGGCUACUGAGACUAAUACUCUUGGAUAGUGGACGUUACUCGAAGAAUAAGCACCGGCUAACUCUGUGCCAGCCGCCGCCGUAACAC
rnacentral:rRNA from 1 species